CCUACGUGUGGCAGCAGUGAGGAAUAUUGGUCAAUGGACGAGAGUCUGAACCAGCCAAGUAGCGUGAAGGAUGGCUGCCCUAUGGGUUGUAAACUUCUUUUAUAUGGGAAUAAAACGUUCCACGUGUGGGAUUUUGUAUGUACAUUAUGAAUAAGGAUCGGCUAACUCCGUGCCAGCAGCCGCGGUAAUCCGGAGGAUCCGAGCGUUAUCCGGAUUUCUUUGGGUUACAGGGAUCGGAGGUGGAUUGUUAAGUCAGUUGUGAAAGUUUGCGGCUCAACCGUAAAAUUGCAGUUGAAAAUGGCAGUCUUGAGUACAGUAGAGGUGUGAGGAAUGCGUGGUGUAGCGGUGAAAUGCAGAGAUAUCACGAAGAACUCCGAUUGCGAAGGCAGUUCACUGGACUGCAACUGACACUGAGGCUCGAAAGUGUGGGUAUCAAACAGGAUUAGAUACCCCAGUAGUC
rnacentral:rRNA from 1 species